AUUGAACGCUGGCGGCAUGCUUUACACAUGCAAGUCGAACGGCAGCGGGGAGGAGCUUGCUUCUCUGCCGGCGAGUGGCGCACGGGUGAGUAAUACAUCGGAACGUGUCGAGAAGAGGGGGAUAACCACCCGAAAGGGUGGCUAAUACCGCAUAAAUUCUGAGGAAGAAAGCUGGGGACCUAGGAAUGGGCCUAGCGCUUUUUGAGCGGCCGAUGUCGGAUUAGCUAGUUGGUGAGGUAAAGGCUCACCAAGGCGAAGAUCUGUAGCGGGUCUGAGAGGAUGAUCCGCCACACUGGGACUGAGACACGGCCCAGACUCCUACGGGAGGCAGCAGUGGGGAAUUUUGGACAAUGGGGGCAACCCUGAUCCAGCCAUGCCGCGUGUAUGAAGAAGGCCUUAGGGUUGUAAAGUACUUUUGUUAGGGAAGAAAAGUCAGCUGUGAAUAAUGGCUGAUACUGACGGUACCUAAAGAAUAAGCACCGGCUAACUACGUG
rnacentral:rRNA from 1 species